GACGAACGCUGGCGGCGUGCUUAACACAUGCAAGUCGAACGGUAAGGCUCCAGCUUGCUGGGGUACACGAGUGGCGAACGGGUGAGUAACACGUGGGUGACCUGCCCUGCACUUCGGGAUAAGCCUGGGAAACUGGGUCUAAUACCGGAUAGGAGCUCCUGCUGCAUGGUGGGGGUUGGAAAGUUUCGGCGGUUGGGGAUGGACUCGCGGCUUAUCAGCUUGUUGGUGGGGUAGUGGCUUACCAAGGCUUUGACGGGUAGCCGGCCUGAGAGGGUGACCGGCCACAUUGGGACUGAGAUACGGCCCAGACUCCUACGGGAGGCAGCAGUGGGGAAUAUUGCACAAUGGGCGGAAGCCUGAUGCAGCAACGCCGCGUGCGGGAUGACGGCCUUCGGGUUGUAAACCGCUUUCGCCUGUGACGAAGCGUGAGUGACGGUAAUGGGUAAAGAAGCACCGGCUAACUACGUG
rnacentral:rRNA from 1 species